GUUUUGACUGACAUCUUUUUACUUUCGUUUUCGUCUAUUGAUUUAAAAACUUUACAACGAUACAUUGGCGUUGCCUGGCGUCGGUUGGCGUAUGGAUUCAUUGAGUGGUUCGUGCAAACAGAAAUAGGAGACAUGUCCUUGACAUUCUUUGCAAAAGGGACCUAAUACAGCACAGACAGCAAUAGUAUAGCACAAUGACCCACAGUGAAGUUGACAGUGAGAUAGCCUGCGUGUGGGGCGCGGUUGGGAAAAAUCACCAAUUAAUGGGGCCAAAGCCUUAGACUUCGAGCCAUCAGGAGCCAAAAGUGCAUCGACCAUUCAUUGACUUCUUGUUUAGACGACCUAUUGUAACUCUACUGAGUGCAUUUCUAUGGUCAAGUGGAUAUUAUACCGCAAUGCAAACAAUUGCAGAUGCACUAACGUAAAGUAAUAAUUCUUAAACGGAAACACCACGUCUUAAACAGGAAGGCGAUGAUGAGAAUAUUAUACGACUUUCUGAAGAUUCAUGAGAGCUUGACAGUGAGAUAGCCUGCGUGAUGGUUGGCGCUUGGGAAAAAUCACCCAAUUAUAGACGCCCAUCAGGAGCCCAAAGUGCAUCACCAUUCAUUGACUUCUUGUUUAGACGACUUAUUGUUAGUCCUCGUAGUGCAUUUUUAAGGGAAAAUUCAAACAACUGCAGAUUCACUAAGUAAUAAUUCUUAAACUGAAACACCACGUCUUAAAGAAGAAGACGAUGAUGGAAAUAUUUUACGACUUUCGAAGAUUCAUCAGGGCGUGAGUGAAAGUUGUUUUUAUUUUUACUUUUGUCCUUGUUAGAUAGUUAAUAUGCUUAAUUAUAUACAAUGCAACGAUAAGGAAACACACACACACAAUUUAAAUCAAAAUAUUUAUUUUCCUAGGAUGUUUUUUCAUUCAUUGGUCUUUAUUUGGAUCUCAUUGCAAAUAUGUUCUUUUGCACAAUGAAUAAAGUCAAUGACGUAUGACCAUAUAGCACUGAAUCAAACAAUUAUUUCUAAUAACAACCCAAUAUAAAUUGAAAACUAUUGUAAAUGCAAAAUGACACCUUGUCCUUCGAACAUUUUGCGAAGAGAUAACUGAUUGUGCUGGUAUAUUAUAAUUAUUGUUUAAAUGCGCCUAAAGAUUUUCAAAGAAGUUUUUGCCUUUCAUGUUAUAUUUUAAUAAGAAGUCAAAUUGUUGCAUAUCUAUGUUACCUGGAAAGUAAAGAAAUAGCCACACAACCCCUAUUUGCUGCAUUCUGCAUUCUGCAGCAACUUUUGUACUUGUUGACAUAUAUUUUCCAAAUAAUUUAGUUUUAUUUGUUACAUACAUUACGUUACUGAUGAUUGUUAACAUAUUUUCAGUCCUUUCAUAAACACAAUAUAUAUAUAAAUAUAUAUACAUACAUGUACAUGUGAAGUGCACUCAUUUUAGUUAACAAUGCUUCAUUAAAGCAGUAUCAAUGAACUUCUACGUAUGCUUACCGUUCUGAUAGUCUAAGUGGUAACUCCAGUAGCAAUACAUGUAACAAACACACUGAUGUAGUAAAACACUGAACGGGAGAGACAGACCAGACUAUUGGAAAUAAAUUUGCUUG